UUGGGUAAGAGUGAGGCACAGACAAGCGCUGGCUAGUUUCCUCCUUUAAACUCAUGCUGGAGUUUUUAGGUGAUGCGGCGACUGCAUAAAACGGCAACUUCCAACACGAUGCUGGUAGCAUCGGCUAAGUGAGCAAAGACUCACAGGUUUUCUCUGUCAGCAGAGCGCGCGACAUGGUCCCCGUCAGCGUUCUGAGAGCGAGCCUUCCUACGGGCACCCUCCAGCACGCGCUUAGCCUGCUCGAGACGCGGACUGAGAACGGAGUCUGCGGGAUUGGACGCGGAUCUGAAACGCAACACGAGAAAAGGCAGACGUGUUAUACCGAAACACAUCUGUGACAAUGGUCUGGGGCGCAAAGCUUAACCAACAGAUCGGCUGUUCACAGAAAGGAGUGGGCGCAUCUGCUCAGAGGGGUUGCAGACUCUCUCCCACAGUGAUGGCUGGAUAUGGGACCCAUGGCUGGUUAUGUCAGCCCAUGGGACCUGUGACUAAAGAUGGUUAUGUCAGAGAAGAUUACGGCCUGUCUCCCAAUCGUCUGCCCUCCAGAGUUGACCCAGUUCUUCUGCUGGACUUUCUUCCCUUUGUAAUCUGUGGAUGCUCUCCAAACUCUCUGACCUUUGCAACUUCUUGUGAACCGCGACACCUCCAAACCUGAGCUUCUGCCUCCAGUACUCCCCCUCACAGAUUAGAUCCUUCUCCGAGCCCAUGGGGGAGGCUACCAGCCCAAAGAGUUGAGACUUCUCCUCCCUGUUGGUCACAGGUCUCUUUCUGUGUGCCAGUUAAGAAGGUGUGUACCUGAAACUGAGGCUCAGACCCCACCUCAUCAAUGGCGAUCGAGUUCUUCCUCCGAUCCAUGGAGAGGAUUUGUCUUGCUGACAGCUGGUCCUUAUCUCCUUGCUUUUGCGCUUGAUGUGUCAGAGCCUCCCUCUCCACUUUGCUAGUUUGCAGAGCUAUACCAGCCAGGCUUCAUGCCAGGUUUAACCAAACAGGAAAUGAUUGCAUUCAAAGAUUUCCCAUGAAGUGGAUUUAAUUUAUUUUAGUCUUCUCUCAUCAUAUAUGUUGCAAUUGGGGUUUUCAUAAUAAAUGUUUCAUAAUAAAUACCAAUAUUGGUAAAUAAUUUUAGAGAUUUACACAUAUUCAUGUGUGCUGAAUAUAGACAUGAUCAGCAGUCACAGGGAAUAAUGAUAAAAAACAGACAUGGAUAAUAUGUAUAAUGCAGAGUGCUAGAAAUGUGAUAUUUUUUAUCUAGAAAAGGAGAUUAAAACAUGCAAAAAUAUUAAAACAUGUUAUAAAUAUUAACAAAUAAAAUAUGUGUGAGUAAGGCAACAGUUUCUAUUUCAUGUGGACAGCCACAUAUAGGCCUAUCGUGAUAAGCAAUUCAAGCCAAAACUUUUCACAAAUGUAUUUACACAACAAAUUAGCCAGUCAUAAUGAGUAUAGCAAGGGCAUAGGCUGGUAUAUAUUCAAUAUAUUUACAGCCUCACAGUAAAUGCUUUUUUUUAUGUCGAAUAUAAUUUGUAUAUUUUAUAGACUUUAUAUAACAAGUAUUGAUCAAUACAUUACAUAAAAGCGAAUUAUUAAUCUCACCAGGAAUAAUUUACUUUAGGUUAUUCACUGUUUUACUAUCUGCCAUAUGACACAGCUGGGCGACGCGCAUUACUCCACCAUAUCUUAGAAAGUGAUUGGUUACAAUGUGCAUGUCUUUCUGUCCCUACCUGCAUGGACUGUUACUUGAAUUACUUGUUCUGAUCCAACGACUGCAUGAAUACAUUUCCCAUUCCAAGCCUUCUCGUUUGCGAGCCAUGUCAACGACUGGUCUUUUAAUCCCCACAGAAUACAGACGGAUUAGGCAAAAAUGGAAAUGAAUGCGUAGUACUUUAAAUCCUUUGACGCGAACUGCUUUUACUGCGUAUGUUUGUGUAAUGUACAUGAAUGCCCGUAAAGACUACAGUGCAUUCCAUAUGCA